rnacentral:rRNA from 1 species
GACGAACCGUGCGAACGUUGUUCGGAAUAACUGGGCUUAAAGGGCGCGUAGGCGGGCUGACAAGUCUGGGGUGAAAUCCCACGGCUCAACCGUGGAACUGCCUCAGAUACUGUCGGCCUCGAGGGAGGUAGGGGCGUGCGAAACUAACGGUGGAGCGGUGAAAUGCGUUGAUAUCGUUAGGAACUCCGGUGGCGAAAGCGGCGCGCUGGACCUCUUCUGACGCUGAGGCGCGAAAGCUAGGGGAGCAAACGGG